rnacentral:sRNA from 1 species
UACACCUUGUCGAACUUGGUUGAUCGGAGAUGCGAGGUCAGUGAGGGGCCGCAGAGGCCGUUGUUUAUAAAUUAUAAUAAUCUCGAGGAAAGAACCAGAGUACAGCGUAAAGUACCCUUGUCAAGAACAGAUCAGCUAUGACUGAUUGGUAUUUUUGUAAAAAAAAAAAAAAAAGAAAGAAAAGAAAGGAAAGGAAAAAAGAAGAAAAAGAAAAAAAUAACGGAAAAAGGAAAAAAAAUGUCAGGAGAGUACGAAUAGUAGUUAGUUAUCAAGCAAAGAAAGAAGGUUGGAGCCGAAAUAAAAAACAAUAGAGGGCCGCC